CCUACGGGACGCAGCAGUGGGGGAUAUUGCACAAUGGGGGAAACCCUGAUGCAGCGACGCCGCGUGAGUGAAGAAGUAUUUCGGUAUGUAAAGCUCUAUCAGCAGGGAAGAAAAUGACAGUACCUGACCAAGAAGCCCCGGCUAACUACGUGCCAGCAGCCGCGGUAAUACGUAGGGGGCAAGCGUUAUCCGGAUUUACUGGGUGUAAAGGGCGUGUAGGCGGGAAUGCAAGUCAGAUGUGAAAACUAUGGGCUCAACCCAUAGCCUGCAUUUGAAAAUGUAUUUCUUGAGUGCUGGAGAGGCAA
rnacentral:rRNA from 1 species